CUAUGGGUCAUAUUUGGAGAUUUAAAUUUGUUUUCUGAUUCCCGUCUACAGAAAGUGAUCCAUCAAUAAAUGGAGUUUGGCCACCACAAAAAUGUUCUUUAUGGAGUUCAGAGGCAGAAACUAUACAUCCAGGAGUGAAUUGACAAUGAUCUCAUAUGACAGAUGGACUUAGAGAAGAAUUAAAGACACGCUGGGGCUGAGCCAAGAGAGAACUUCCCCUUGAUGUAAUCAGCAAAUAAGAAAGGUAAGGCGGCAGACAACCCUGAUCAGCUAUCCUAGAAAGGAAUGCAACGCAUACAUUCCAUUCUCCAGACCCAGGACUAGCUACAGUGGGAUUUCUCGGUGGCAGAGGAAAAACAAGAAGAUACAAGCAUCUGGUCUUUGGUGGGCUUGCUGAGAAAUAUUGGAAUGACAGAUUGUCUUUUGCAGUCCCUAGUGUUGGAUGGCAAACCAUGCUGGUGGCUAAGUGUACAAGGCACAUUCCACUCUUGCAGGACGAUGGGAAGCCAAGCCCAUUUUCCAGAGAUUUUCUGGACCCCAGACCAAACUCUACUCCUUGGGAAAGCACCACCCAAAAGCAAACACACCCCAAACACACUGCAUUCUCCCACAGCACAAUUCCCAGAGUUGCAUUGCUCAGCACAAUCUCAGCUUUUAAAAAACAAAGACUAAGAGAAGACCCUUCUCUAGGGAGAAGAGUUUAUUUCUGAUUCCCCAGGAAUUAGCCUUAUUUGGCACUAUUUUAUAACUCGAGAGACAGAAAAAAAAAGUCUUUUUUUGAGUUUUGAUAAAUCUUAAUCACCAUAAAUUCCACCACCCCUUCC
rnacentral:lncRNA from 1 species